rnacentral:rRNA from 1 species
UGGGGAAUUUUGGACAAUGGGGGCAACCCUGAUCCAGCCAUUCCGCGUGAGUGAAGAAGGCCUUCGGGUUGUAAAGCUCUUUUGUUCGGGACGAAACGGUGAACGUGAAUAGCGUUCGCUACUGACGGUACCGGAAGAAUAAGCACCGGCUAACUACGUGCCAGCAGCCGCGGUAAUACGUAGGGUGCGAGCGUUAAUCGGAAUUACUGGGCGUAAAGCGUGCGCAGGCGGUUUUGUAAGCCAGAUGUGAAAUCCCCGGGCUUAACCUGGGAAUGGCAUUUGGGACUGCAAGGCUGGAGUGCGGCAGAGGGGACUGGAAUUCCUGGUGUAGCAGUGAAAUGCGUAGAGAUCAGGAGGAAUACCGAUGGCGAAGGCAGGUCCCUGGGCUGACACUGACGCUCAUGCACGAAAGCGUGGGGAGCAAACAGGAUUAGAUACCCUGGUAGUCCACGCCCUAAACGAUGUCGACUGGUUGUUGGGGGUUUGACACUCUCAGUAACGAAGCUAACGCGUGAAGUCGACCGCCUGGGGAGUACGGCCGCAAGGUUAA